CGGGAGGCAGCAGUGGGGAAUAUUGGACAAUGGGCGAAAGCCUGAUCCAGCAAUGCCGCGUGAGUGAUGAAGGCCUUAGGGUUGUAAAGCUCCUUUACCCGGGAUGAUAAUGACAGUACCGGGAGAAUAAGCCCCGGCUAGCUCCGUGCCAGCAGCCGCGGUAAUACGGAGGGGGCUAGCGUUGUUCGGAAUCACUGGGCGUAAAGCGUACGUAGGCGGUUAUUCAAGUCAGAGGUGAAAGCCUGGAGCUCAACUCCAGAACUGCCUUUGAAACUAGAUAGCUAGAAUCACGGAGAGGUGAGUGGAAUUCCGAGUGUAGAGGUGAAAUUCGUAGAUAUUCGGAAGAACACCAGUGGCGAAGGCGGCUCACUGGACGUGUAUUGACGCUGAGGUACGAAAGCGUGGGGAGCAAACAGGAUUAGAUACCCGUGUAGUC
rnacentral:rRNA from 1 species